GGGGGCUGUGGCUCAGUGGCAGAGCAACUGCACGGCAUGCGGAAGGCCGCAGGUUCAAUCCCCGGCAUUUCCA
rnacentral:tRNA from 1 species